AUAAAAAAAAAUACAGUGACCGUUUGGUCACUGAAAUUUUUUCAGUAACCAAAUGGUUACUGAAAAAGUGACCAAAACGGUCACUUUUUUUAAAAAGUGACCGUUUUGGUCACUAUAAAUAACGAGCCACGAGCCGGGUCGUGGCUUGUUAAG
rnacentral:sRNA from 1 species